UACGGGGGGAGCAAGCGUUGUUCGGAAUUACUGGGCGUAAAGGGCGAGUAGGUGGCCAUCUAAGUCAGACGUGAAAUCCCCCGGCUUAACCUGGGAACUGCGUCUGAUACUGGACGGCUUGAGUAUGGGAGAGGAAUGUAGAAUUCCAGGUGUAGCGGUGAAAUGCGUAGAUAUCUGGAGGAAUACCGGUGGCGAAGGCGGCAUUCUGGACCAUUACUGACACUGAAUCGCGAAAGCUAGGGGAGCAAACGGG
rnacentral:rRNA from 1 species